rnacentral:rRNA from 1 species
AGUCGAACGUGAAAGCACUUCGGUGUGAGUAGAGUGGCGGACGGGUGAGUAACGCGUGGGAAUCUACCCAGUAGUGGGGGACAACUACCGGAAACGGUAGCUAAUACCGCAUACGCCCUAUGGGGGAAAGGCUUCGGCCGCUAUUGGAUGAGCCCGCGUCAGAUUAGCUAGUUGGUAGGGUAAAGGCCUACCAAGGCAACGAUCUGUAGCUGGUCUGAGAGGACGAACAGCCACACUGGGACUGAGACACGGCCCAGACUCCUACGGGAGGCAGCAGUGGGGAAUAUUGGACAAUGGGCGAAAGCCUGAUCCAGCAAUGCCGCGUGUGUGAAGAAGGCCUGCGGGUUGUAAAGCACUUUCAGUUGGGAAGAUGAUGACGUUACCAACAGAAGAAGCACCGGCUAAAUCCGUGCCAGCAGCCGCGGUAAUACGGAUGGUGCGAGCGUUAAUCGGAAUUACUGGGCGUAAAGCGCGCGUAGGCGGCUAAGUCAGUCAGAAGUGAAAGCCCCGGGCUCAACCUGGGAAUUGCUUUUGAUACUGCUUGGCUAGAGUUUGGUAGAGGAUAGUGGAAUUCCAGGUGUAGCGGUGAAAUGCGUAGAUAUCUGGAGGAACAUCAGUGGCGAAGGCGACUGUCUGGACCAAAACUGACGCUGAGGUGCGAAAGCGUGGGUAGCAAACAGGAUUAGAUACCCUGGUAGUCCACGCCGUAAACGAUGUCAACUAGCCGUCGGGUCUAUUUACAGACUUGGUGGCGCAGCUAACGCGAUAAGUUGACCGCCUGGGGAGUACGGCCGCAAGGUUAAAACUCAAAGGAAUUGACGGGGGCCCGCACAAGCGGUGGA